AAUCUUCGGGUCUGUGAUUGAAAGCCGAUGCCAGUCGCAGGCAAAACGGUCCACGUAAUCUGUCCAAAGCGGCAGGGAGCAUGGUGCGGUCUAGAUGUAAGUCCAUCCGGGUUUAUCCUGUAUAAACCCGAGAGGAGUGCGUGAGGGCGCAGAGGCGCAGAGCAACCUCCCGGAUGGCGUGUGUGGGGUCAAAAAUCAGGUCAGCCGGAGAUU
rnacentral:ncRNA from 12 species